rnacentral:rRNA from 1 species
CCCUUAGAUGUUCUGGGCUGCACACGUGCUACACUGGCAGGUUCAGCGAGCUUCAUGCCCUGAUCUGAAAGGAAUGGGAAAUCUUUUCAAAACCUGCCGUGCUUGGGAUAGAUGUUUGCAAUUAUUCAUCUUCAACGAGGAUUGCCUUGUAAGCGCACGUCAUCAGCGUGCAUUGAAUACGACCCUGUAUUCUGUACACACCGCCCGUCGCUCCUACCGAUUGAAGUUUUCGGUGAGUUGACAGGAGGAUUUUUUUGAAACUGGUUCGCCAGUGGAUUUUAGAUCCAAAUGCCAACGAACCGAUGGCUUUAGAGGAAGGAGAAGUCGUAACA